rnacentral:lncRNA from 1 species
AACGUCGGUCUGAAAAUGAGAUUUUGCCCACCUCCAUUGUUACGGGCUGAAUGCCUGCAGCCGCUCUGGCUCUGCCGAGGCGAUUAGUGGCCAGUGGACGUGUUUCUAUUUGAGGAAAUCAAGGCCGCCUGCUCUGUGCUCCUCAUGGUGUAGCACCACGUAGCCUCUGCUGAACGAGCAAAAUGAGGCCAUGUUACACAUCCGAGUCCCCUCGGCUCCGGCGGCUACGUGCACGGGGACCCGAGUGUUGAUGCUUCAGAAAGCAAAGGACCCAACACCAGCAUCAGAACAAUUUUCAGCGGCUGAAGGAAAUAUAUGAACUAUUUGGCCGAAUGUUCAAAAGUUUGGGGGUCAUCGUUAUUUUUCCUCGUUGUGGGACCCUGUUCAGACACAGAUAGAUUUACCAUUCGAAGAAGACAAAUGGACCAGGCA